CAGAAGCAAAUGGGAGGAAAAGACAAAGAACACCGAACACAAUGGACUCAUUGGACUGGGAAGCUGUGAGAUGUGCAGAUGUUAAUGAGAUUGCCAACACAAUCAAAGAGCGUGGAAUGAACAACAUGCUUGCGGAACGUAUAAAGAAUUUUCUUAAUCGACUAGCUAGAGAACAUGGAAGCAUUGAUCUGGAAUGGCUAAGAGAUGUUCCACCAGACAAAGCAAAGGAGUA
rnacentral:misc_RNA from 1 species